GUCAUCAAGAAUACAAGUGUCGUCUGACAAACUUUAAUAAAACUUUGCAGUAAUAAAAUGCACAUCAUGUGAAAGGAAAUAUCUUUAGAUUUAAAUUGUCAGCGAGCCCCCCAAAACUAAAAAACGAGAAAAGUUUUACUCCGACACUUUGAAAUCUUCACUUUGGGCCAAAAACAAAUUAACUUUACAAUAAAAAUUGAAAUCUUCAAAUUCAUAGAAAUUCACGAAGAAAGAGCUGAGUCAUUAAAUGUUAAAGAAUCGAUGAUUUAAAAAAGUUCUAGAUUUUAAUGUAACUUUAUCUAAUCUGUUGGUUUUAAAGUAAAUUCAAAAUGGCCUCGACUAACUCUGAGUUUAAUAAGUUGAGUAAUCGAUGUGGAGUUGAACUGGAGGAAACCUUACACCGUCUCCAGGAGCACUCAGGAGUACAGGGGAUCAUAGUUGUAGAUUUAUCAGGAAAAAUUAUUAAGAGUUCGUUUGAAUCCCAGUUCGGAGAAAAAAUCCUAGGAUAUAUUGGACCUUUAGCAAUUCAGGUU